CCAUCUCUUCACUGCAACUCUAUAUACACACAGAUCAGAACAGUGUGUUCCAAACCAACAAACAGAAUCUUCCUCUCAUCAAACAUUUUUAUAAAAACAAAAACCCACUUAUCAAAAAAGAAAAAAAACACAAACCCAAAAUCCCUAACGCCGUAUUCCCAAUCAAAAGUUCAGACUCACUCUAACUUUUGUUUCUUCUCUGCAACUCCAUAUAAACAUAGGUCAAAAUAACGGGUUCAAUUCUCCCCUCUUGAAUUCUCUCUGUUCCGUGUCUUAUUGCUUGCGUGUUCCAUUCCAAACCAACAAACGGAGGAAAAAAGAAAAUCCAAAAGGAAGCGCAAAAAAAAAAAAAAAAAAAAAAAAAAAAAAAUUGCAAAAACUUAAAAACUUUGUUCAUUCUCUACAACAACAGACGAUUCAGAUGCUAUCCCAUUCCUUCUAUGCAAUAACAGACAAUUCAGAAGAGGACUGCAUGGCUCUGAUUCUGGGAAUUGAAGUUGCCCUCGAAUUAUGAAGUUCUUCUUCGGAAAGUGUUCGAUGAUUGUACUAAGAGAGUUUGACUGCUUAAAAGAACGUGUGUUGUUUGUUUGUCCAUUGCUUCAAAAGGAUUAGUGAUCACCGGGAUAGAUGAUUGAAGAUAUUGGAAUCAUAUCCCAACUGAAGAAUCUAGGAUACCUCCACAUACCCUUGGUGCAGCAAGGUUGCUAGAGGCAUCAUUAAUAUUGGGAAUCCUAUCUUCCAUACAUUAGAGAAGGGACUAAAGAGCAAAAUAAGAUGGGUGUCUUAGGCUUGCCUAACAGCCAUUGCAUGGCUUGGAUGUGAAAUAAUAAAGUGCCCAAAUAGUAUAACAUAUUCUGCAUGUGAGAUCUUACUAAAUGAAACUAAGCAAUUUUUGCAUCUUGGAUCAGAGCUUGAAGGCAGGCUUCUAGCAUGUCUUUGCAUCUAUAACUAUGCUUCUAUGCCUUUUACAUAAACAUCUCUAUGUAAUAACCAUUUUCAAGUAUCACAAAGCACAAAAGAUUUAAGAUUCAUCUCUACUAUAUAUGCAAAUGAUCAUUGACAUGAAUGAAUUCUCAAUCAGCAGUUAGGACAAUUCAUGAAAUUUUAUGUUGGGUUUAUGCAAAAAAAACUACACCAUUUUUCUUCAUAGCACUUUCUUUGAGAAUUAUAGAGAGAAUUAUUUUUCACAUUACGUGAGAAGUACAUUUUGCUUAUCACCAAAGGAACAACCCUAUAAUUCUGUUAGAUUCUGUAUAGCAUAUACAUCACAUGCUAUGGAAGCCAAAAAUGGAAUAAUUUUAUCCCCAAUGUCCAAAUACCCUGAAUGAGAAAAUUAUGUUGAAAUAUUGUCUUGAACUAAGCUUUUAACUUAUUAGAUGUUGGAUUCUCUCCAAUAAUCGGCUUCAAGGACACA